rnacentral:pre_miRNA from 1 species
CGGGCCCGGAGCGCUGUCUGAGAGGGUUUACGUUUCUCACAGUGAACCGGUCUCUUU